rnacentral:rRNA from 1 species
GUGCCAGCAGCCGCGGUAAUACGUAGGGUGCGAGCGUUGUCCGGAAUUAUUGGGCGUAAAGAGCUCGUAGGCGGUGUGUCACGUCGAUCGUGAAAACUUUCAGCUUAACUGGGAGCUUGCGGUCGAUACGGGCAUCACUGGAGUUCGGCAGGGGAGACUGGAAUUCAAGGUGUAGCGGUGAAAUGCGCAGAUAUCUUGAGGAACACCGGUGGCGAAGGCGGGUCUCUGGGCCGAUACUGACGCUGAGGAGCGAAAGCGUGGGGAGCGAACAGGAUUAGAUACCCUCGUAGUCC